AAGUCGUAACAAGGUUUCCGUAGGUGAACCUGCGGAAGGAUCAUUAUCACGUAUCCACGUUAUCAACCAUCGUGAACUGUUCUACCUCCAGUUGAUGCGGUGAGUGGAUUUCAAAAAGACUUUAGACAAUUUAAGGAGCUUUUAGUUGUGUAAUUUUGAGCUCUGGUCUCUUGUUCGAUUUGAAAUUCCUCGAGUUAUGUCGUACUGCAUUGAUUGGAGCGUAUUUUCAAAAUUUGCACUAUCAUUAACAAUUUGAACAACAACUCUGAUCAUCGAACUGAAUUGAUUUCUUACUCUUUGAUUUUUCAGAGAGAAGAAAUAAAAUUUACGAAACAAAGAACAACUCUUAGCAACGGAUAUCUUGGUUCUC
rnacentral:misc_RNA from 1 species